rnacentral:rRNA from 1 species
AGGGCGUGCUAAUCUGCGAUAAGCGCCGGUAAGGUGAUAUGAACCGUUAUAACCGGCGAUACCCGAAUGGGGAAACCCAGUGUGAUUCGUCACACUAUCAUUAACUGAAUCCAUAGGUUAAUGAGGC